GACGAACGCUGGCGGCGUGCUUAACACAUGCAAGUCGAACGGAAAGGCCCUGCUUUUGUGGGGUGCUCGAGUGGCGAACGGGUGAGUAACACGUGAGUAACCUGCCCUUGACUUUGGGAUAACUUCAGGAAACUGGGGCUAAUACCGGAUAGGAUCUCCUGCUGCAUGGUGGGGGUUGGAAAGUUUCGGCGGUUGGGGAUGGACUCGCGGCUUAUCAGCUUGUUGGUGGGGUAGUGGCUUACCAAGGCUUUGACGGGUAGCCGGCCUGAGAGGGUGACCGGCCACAUUGGGACUGAGAUACGGCCCAGACUCCUACGGGAGGCAGCAGUGGGGAAUAUUGCACAAUGGGCUGAAGCCUGAUGCAGCAACGCCGCGUGCGGGAUGACGGCCUUCGGGUUGUAAACCGCUUUCGCCUGUGACGAAGCGUGAGUGACGGUAAUGGGUAAAGAAGCACCGGCUAACUACGUG
rnacentral:rRNA from 1 species